rnacentral:rRNA from 1 species
UCAAGUUAUUAAGGGUGCAGGGCGGAUGCCUUGGCACUAGGAGCCGAUGAAGGACGUGAUAAGCUGCGAUAAGCUUCGGGGAGUUGCACGUAAACUUUGAUCCGAAGAUUUCCGAAUGAGGAAACUCACUUAGAGUAAUGUCUAAGUAUCAUUAAGUGAAUACAUAGCUUAAUGAGGGGAACUCAGGGAACUGAAACAUCUAAGUACCUGAAGGAAGAGAAAGAAAUUCGAUUCCGUAAGUAGCGGCGAGCGAACGCGGAUUAGCCCAAACCAAUAAAGUUUUCUUUAUUGGGGUUGCGGACAUAUCAUAACGAAGAGGUAUCGUAAUUGAAGAGGUUUGGAAAGACCCACCACAGAAGGUAAUAGUCCUGUAUGUUAAACGAGAAGACUUUAGAUAUGAUCCAGAGUACCACGGGACACGUGAAACCCUGUGGGAAGCAGGAGGGACCACCCUCCAAGGCUAAAUACUACCUAGUGACCGAUAGCGUAUAGUACCGUGAGGGAAAGGUGAAAAGAACCCCGGGAGGGGAGUGAAAUAGAACCUGAAACCCUGCACUUACAAGCUGUGGAAGCACAUUUCUUGUGUGACCGCGUACUUUUUGUAGAACGGGCCAACGAGUUACGUUAAGUAGCAAGGUUAAGCACUUAAGGUGUGGAGCCGUAGCGAAAGCGAGUUUUAACUGAGCGUUCAGUUACUUGACGUAGACCCGAAACCGGGCGACCUACCCAUGAGCAGGAUGAAGCGAAAGUAAAAUUUCGUGGAGGUCCGAACCCACGAGCGUUGAAAAGCUCGGGGAUGACUUGUGGGUAGCGGUGAAAUUCCAAUCGAGCCCGGAGAUAGCUGGUUCUCCCCGAAAUAGCUUUAGGGCUAGCCUCAAGGUGAGAGAUACGGAGGUAGAGCACUGAAUGUCCUAGGGGGUAUUGCACCUACCGAAGACUAUCAAACUCCGAAUGCCGUCAUCUUAUACUUGGGAGUCAGACUGUGGGUGAUAAGAUUCAUAGUCGAAAGGGCAACAGCCCAGAUCGUCAGCUAAGGUCCCUAAAUGUAAGUUAAGUGGUAAAGGAUGUGGGAUUGCACAGACAACCAGGAUGUUGGCUUAGAAGCAGCCACUCAUUCAAAGAGUGCGUAAUAGCUCACUGGUCGAGUGAUCCUGCGCCGAAGAUUUCCGGGGCUAAAACUUACUACCGAAGCUACGGCAUCAGUAAUGAUGGGUAGGGGAGCUUCCCAUACGGGUUGAAGCAUGACCGUAAGGACAUGUGGACAGUAUGGGAGUGAGAAUGUUGGCAUGAGUAGCGAGAUGUGGGUGAGAAUCCCACAGGCCGUAAACCCAAGGUUUCCAGGGGAAGGUUCGUCCGCCCUGGGUUAGUCGGGACCUAAGCUGAGGCCGAAAGGCGUAGGUGAUGGACAACAGGUUGAUAUUCCUGUACUACCGAUAACCGUUUGAGAGAAGGGAUGACACAGUAGGAUAAGCUAAGCACACUGUUGGUUAUGUGUGCCCAAGCAUUGAGGCAGUCAAAGUAGGCAAAUCCGCUUUGAUAAUGCUGGGAUGUGAUGGGGAGCGAAAUUUAGUAGCGAAGUAGCUGAUUUCACACUGUCAAGAAAAGUCUCUAUCGAGGUUAAAGGUACCCGUACCGCAAACCGACACAGGUGGGUGAGGAGAGUAUCCUAAGGCCAGCGAGAGAACUGUUGUUAAGGAACUCGGCAAAAUGACCCCGUAACUUAGGGAUAAGGGGUGCCACCAUCAGGUGGCCGCAGAGAAUAGGCCCAAGCGACUGUUUACCAAAAACAUAGGUUUCUGCUAAGUCGCAAGACGAUGUAUAGGAGCUGACGCCUGCCCGGUGCUGGAAGGUUAAGGGGAUCUGUUAGAGCAAUCGAAGCAGUGAACUUAAGCCCCAGUAAACGGCGGCCGUAACUAUAACGGUCCUAAGGUAGCGAAAUUCCUUGUCGGGUAAGUUCCGACCCGCACGAAAGGCGUAACGAUUUGGGCACUGUCUCAACAACAGACUCGGUGAAAUUGUAAUUCCGGUGAAGAUGCCGGAUACCUGCGACAGGACGGAAAGACCCCAUGGAGCUUUACUGUAGCUUGACAUUGGGUCUUGGUACUACAUGUACAGGAUAGGUGGGAGGCUUUGAAACCAGGACGCCAGUUUUGGCGGAGCCAUCCUUGGGAUACCACCCUUGUAGUACUGGGACUCUAACCAUAGGCCAUGAAUCUGGUCUUGGGACACUGUCAGGUGGGCAGUUUGACUGGGGCGGUCGCCUCCCAAAAGGUAACGGAGGCGCUCAAAGGUUCUCUCAGUACGGUCGGAAAUCGUACGUAGAGUGUAAAGGCAAAAGAGAGCUUGAUUGCAAGACAUACAGGUCGAGCAAGGAUGAAAAUCGGACUUAGUGAUCCGGUGGUUCUGCGUGGAAGGGCCAUCGCUCAACGGAUAAAAGCUACCCUGGGAUAACAGGCUUAUCUCCCCCAAGAGUCCACAUCGACGGGGAGGUUUGGCACCUCGAUGUCGGCUCAUCACAUCCUGGGGCUGUAGUAGGUCCCAAGGGUUGGGCUGUUCGCCCAUUAAAGUGGUACGCGAGCUGGGUUCAGAACGUCGUGAGACAGUUCGGUCCCUAUCCGUCGCAGGCGUAGGAAAUUUGAGAAGACCUGUCCUUAGUACGAGAGGACCGGGAUGGACGUACCUCUGGUGUACCAGUUGUUCUGCCAAGGGCAUGGCUGGGUAGCUAUGUACGGAAUGGAUAAGCGCUGAAAGCAUCUAAGCGCGAAGCCAACUUCAAGAUAAGAUUUCCCACCGCAAGGGUAAGACCCCAGAAAGACUAUCUGGUUGAUAGGUCGAAGGUGUAAGUGCAGCAAUGUAUUUAGCUUAUCGAUACUAAUAGGUCGAGGACUUGACCAA